AAUAUUGGGCGUAAGAGCUCGUAGGCGGUCUGUCACGUCUGCUGUGAAAACCCGAGGCUCAACCUCGGGCUUGCAUUGGGUACKGGCAAACUAGAGUGCGGAAGGGGAGAUUGGAAUUCCUGGUGUAGCGGUGGAAUGCGCAGAUAUCAGGAGGAACACCGAUGGCGAAGGCAAAUCUCUGGGCCGUAACUGACGCUGAGGAGCGAAAGCAUGGGGAGCAAACAGGCUUAGAUACCCUGGUAGUCCAUGCCGUAAACGUUGGGAACUAGAUGUGGGGACCAUUCCACGGUCUCCGUGUCGUAGCUAACGCAUUAAGUUCCCCGCCUGGGGAGUACGGCCGCAAAGCUAAAACUCAAAGGAAUUGACGGGGGCCCGCACAACCGGCGGACCAUGCGGAUUAAUUCAAUGCAACGCAAAAAACCUUACCAGGGCUUGACAUAUACCGGAAACGGCCAGAGAUGGUCGCCCCGCAAGGUCGGUAUACAGGUGGUGCAUGGUUGUCGUCAGCUCUUGUCGUGAGAUGUUGGGUUAAGUCCCGCAACGAGCGCAACCCUCGUCCUAUGUUGCCAGCACGUAAUGGUGGGAACUCAUGGGAUACUGCCGGGGUCAACUCGGAGGAAGGUGGGGAUGAGGUCAAAUCAUCAUGCCCCUUAUGUCUUGGGCUUCACGCAUGCUACAAUGGCCGGUACAAUGGGCUGCGAUACCGCAAGGUGGAGCGAAUCCCAAAGAUCCGGUCUCAGUUCGGAUUGUGGUCUGCAACUCGACCCCAUGAAGUCGGAGUCGCUAGUAAUCGUAGAUCAGCAACGCUACGGUGAAUACUUCCCGGGCCUUGUACAAGCGCCCGUCAAGUAUGAAAGUCGGUAACACGUAAGCCAGUGAGCUAACCUCCGGAGGGAGCUGUCAAAGGGGGAUCGGUGAUUGGGCGAAGUCUAACAU
rnacentral:rRNA from 1 species